rnacentral:lncRNA from 1 species
CCAAGCUGCCGCUUUAAAAGAGAAAAACGCGUGCGAUUUCGUUAUCACAAGUGUAGAGCGGUAGGUUUGGAUGAGCAGGUUAAAAGAAGGCGCGUUUCCGCCCGGCCGAGUAUCAACCUGCUUUAUAAAACCGAACUAAAAUGUGCUGUGAUUUAAAGGCAUUUUUCUAACUGUAUUUUCUUUCCUCUCUUGCCUGCGAUGGAUAUGCAUUUUGCAGAGUUCACAGAGGCAUGAAAGACACUAGCAAAAAGAACAACAUUUUUGCUCAGUUCAGGAAGAAUGAUCGGGACAAGCAGAAGCUAAUAGAGACCGUAGUGAAGCAACUUAGGAGUUUAGUGAAUGGGUUACUAUUUCUAACUGUACUUUUUGUAAGAGUCUUUCCCCUAGACUGCAGUAAGGGGUAGAUUUGCCACUGUUGGUUUCGUGCCGCAUCUUUUGGUCAGUACGCGCUUUCGGCAGCCAGACCCAUCCCAGCGCUUAGCGUUGCGUCCCGCCGCCGCUCUCUUUGCACUGUCCCCUCCUGGCUAUUUUAGACACAAAGAGAUUGUCUAACGAGUGCAAACCAAACAGAACGUGUAAAAAACAAAACAAAAACAAAAACCCCUCGCACAUCUCGCUGUAUUUUUAAGUUAUUGACGGUCUCAAUACAGUAAUAUAAACCCUACCCGUACGUGUGUUUAAUUG